ACUGUGUGUGUCUCUGUGACCCUGGUGCUGAUGGCAGCAUCUCUAUUCAUCUACAUGUUAAAAAAAUACAAGACACAAGAUUCUACCUUAACAAGUCAGAGAACUGAAACAAAUAGCAUGACUGCUGAUUUGGAAAACAAUCACCCUCAGAGUCAGAACAUCAGAAUGCAUAUGGUCUACCAA